ACCGAAGUAGUUUUUAAAAAUACUACAUUGUGGCUGUAGAGAUGUGUAACACCUUAGGUA
rnacentral:tRNA from 1 species